AAGGUACUAGUAAAAUAGCUAUUACACUGCCUUGUCAAGGCAGAAUUGCGGGUUAGAGCCCCGCGUAUCUUG